rnacentral:tRNA from 1 species
UGGAGUAUGGCCAAGUCCGGUAAGGCGUUAGCUUUUGAUGCUACCAUGCGAGGGUUCGAAUCCUUCUACUCCAA